rnacentral:rRNA from 1 species
UACGUAGGUGGCAAGCGUUAUCCGGAAUUAUUGGGUGUAAAGAGCGCGCAGGUGGUUGAUUAAGUCUGAUGUGAAAGCCCACGGCUUAACCGUGGAGGGUCAUUGGAAACUGGUCGACUUGAGUGCAGAAGAGGGAAGUGGAAUUCCAUGUGUAGCGGUGAAAUGCGUAGAGAUAUGGAGGAUCACCAGUGGCGAAGGCGGCUUCCUGGUCUGCAACUGACACUGAGGCGCGAAAGCGUGGGGAGCAAACAGGA